GUUGCCGCAAAAUCGGUAACCGGGCGUAGGAACCCGAGCAACUCGAAGGCGACACCAGACGCGCCAUGCGUCUUUUUU
rnacentral:sRNA from 7 species